UACGUAGGGGGCAAGCGUUAUCCGGAUUUACUGGGUGUAAAGGGAGCGUAGACGGCCAGACAAGUCUGAAGUGAAAAUCCAGCGCUUAACGCUGGAAGUGCUUUGGAAACUGCCGGGCUGGAAUGCAGGAGGGGCAGGCGGAAUUCCUAGUGUAGCGGUGAAAUGCGUAGAUAUUAGGAGGAACACCAGUGGCGAAGGCGGCCUGCUGGACUGCAACUGACGUUGAGGCUCGAAGGCGUGGGGAGCAAACAGG
rnacentral:rRNA from 1 species